AUUGAACGCUGGCGGCAUGCUCAACACAUGCAAGUCGAACGGUAACAGGCCCUUCGGGUGCCGACGAGUGGCGGACGGGUGAGUAAUGCUUAGGAAUCUGCCUAGUAGUGGGGGAUAACCCGGGGAAACUCGGGCUAAUACCGCAUACGCCCUACGGGGAAAGCGGGGACGUUUCGGCCUCGCGCGUAUUAGAUGAGCCUAAGUCCGAUUAGCUAGUUGGUAGGGUAAUGGCCUACCAAGGCGACGACGGUAGCUGGUCUGAGAGGACGACCAAGCCACACUGGGACUGAGACACGGCCCAGACUCCUACGGGAGGCAGCAGU
rnacentral:rRNA from 1 species